rnacentral:tRNA from 1 species
GGUUUCAUAGCUUGGUGGUAAAGCAGGCACCUAGAGUUAGCCCAAACCAGGUUCAAGUCCUGGUGGAGCCA